rnacentral:lncRNA from 1 species
UAAAUUUCAAAUUGAUAUCAAUUUUAUUGCAAAAGAACAUGUUAUUGUUAAAAGAGAUAUAAUUUUAUUAAAACGAUCAAAAAAUUGAUCUAACAAGAGUAUUUGCAUCCGCGCAAGAUAUAAUAAAAAUAUAAUGAUUAUUUUUCUAAAUAGUACUUGGUUGGUUAUUUUUUGUAUCUUCUGAUGCUUUUCAGACGAUUUGACAUACUCUUGUGAGAUCAAUUAUCAUUUACGUUUAAUUAUAUUUUUCUUAUGAUAAAAUACUCUUUCGCAAUGAAAUUGUGACAUCAAUUUUUCAAAAUUUGAUAAUCCUACAAUAUUUGUAUGUAUAUAAGAAUAUUAAAAUAUUCAUUGUUAUACUUAAAUUGACAGUAAGAGUACGAAUAUUCCUGUAACUCACUGUACGUGCACACAACGUGUGCUCUCUGUCCGCCAAGUGUAAUUAUUAAUUCCGAUACACGUUAAGCCACCGAAACCAAAAAAUUAGGUGAAGAAUAAAGCGAGAAGACAUUUUGUUGAAUAUUUUUCUUUUGUUUUGCUUUUUCAAAAAAAAAGUAAGUAAGUAAGUAAGUAAAAAAAAAGAGAACAAAGGGCAUCUUUUUUGAAAUACAUUGUACGUACGUUUUUUAAAGUACUACUCCGAAUAAAAGCGCAUAAAAAAGCGUAACUUAUUAUUAUGUAUUAAACGAUAUUAAUAAAAAUGAGAAAGAAGAGGAAGACGAGGAGAAGGAGGAGGAGGAGAAGGAGAAGGAGGAUUAUAUAAUGAUGAUAGUGCGAGAACAAAUCUAUGUAUUAUAUUACUUACGUAUUACGUACGCUACAACACUGCACACUCGUGGUGAACAAAAUGUUAGUUCCGUGUGUACGAGGUGGGGGAAAAAAGGAAAAAAAUUUUCAUUCGGAAUGAGAAUUAGAAACAAUUUAAUGUUUGCCAAGAGAACACACACGUGUCACGCACAAAAUGAAAUUUCUAGGACGAAGAUAAAGUUUUCAAAAGUAGGAGGACGAUGAAACGGUGUUUUCAAACACGCAUACUCGUCGUGCAUGGAUUUGGUAGUCGCGCAUGCACGUUUUUUGUGUAAUAAGCGUACAUAUACCUUCUUAUUGAGAGAGAGAGAGAGAGAGAGAGAGAGAGAGAGAGAGAGAGAGAGAGAAAGAAAUUGUCUAAUAGCGAAAUGGCACGGACAAUAAAAUACAGGCGAUAGUAAGCUAUUGGAUGUUAAUAAUAAAAAAAAAAGGAAAAAAGAAAAAAAUAGAACAAGUAGUAUAAAAAUAUCUCUCGAAAAUCUUCUUACGAUCCUACGCGAUAGUUGAUUACGAAAUAUUUAAGAUAUCAAUCAAAUAUACGAAAAUUAAAUUCUAUUUUUUUUACUAUAUAAUUCAACUCUUGUUAUUAAUUAUUUGUGAAAUAGGAACUAGGAUGAUCGAUCAAUUCAUUCAUAAGAAAAAUAAUUUGCAAUCGUUAAAGUAUUGCAAAUAUAUUUCAUCUUUAAUUCUUUCCUCUUUUUCGACAAAAAGAUAAAUUUAAUUUUAAAUCAAAGGAUUAAUAAUAAAUGCUUACUCUCGCCUAAUUAUACCGGAAACUCGUAACAAAUAGAAUUAAAAUAAUUAUACGUUUUUUUUUGAGACGCCAUUUUGACGCGUCAAUUAUUUCUCAUUCAAUGCUAAUUAAUUAAUAAUAUAAAAUUCCUGAUAUGAGAGAAAGAGAGAAA